GCCAGGUGUGGUUGUGCAUAUCUGUAAUCCCAGUGACUUGGGAGGUUGAGGCAGGAGGAUUGCAAGUUCAAGGCCAACCUGGGCAACUUAGUUAGACCCUGUCUCAA
rnacentral:sRNA from 1 species